rnacentral:rRNA from 1 species
UGACCUCAGCUUAGACGAGAUUACCCGCUGAACUUAAGCAUAUUGCUAAGCGGUGGAAAAGAAACCAAAUUGGAUUCCCUGAGUAGCGGCGAGCGAAACGGGACGAGCUCAGCGCCGAAGCUUUCAGUGUGUCGCGCACUGAACGCGGUGUGGUGCUUGUUCUCAGCGGUCGUGAUUGUCGGCACGCCGUCGUAGGCUCCCUUGAUUGGGACGUCAGAGCGGGCGCAAGACCCAUGACGACGGUUGCCGCGGUCAAUGCUUUGCUGAGAAGUCGAGUCGGGCUGUUUGAGAGUACAACCCAAAGCGGAUGGUAUAUCCCAUCUAAAGCUGAAUAUGACUACGAGACCGAUAGCGAACAAGUACCGCGAGGGAAAGUUGAAAAGAACUCUGAAGAGAGAGUUAAACAGGACGUGAAACCGUUCAAAAGAAAACUGACGGAGCUGUCGUUGUUAGACGGUUGGCAAUCAAUCGCGUUCAGCGCGGCCGAGUCUUCGCUGUCGCUUGGUUGGCGGCAGUUGGCGCCGUUGACGACGCUCUGCGGGCGACGGUGGCAGCGAUUGACCUGAGAAUCGGCUUCGAGCGAUGCAUUUGUCGACCGGGCGCGCCACGAGCAGCGCUUGGCAGUUGCGCUUUUCUUCAAGGCCUGGCCGCUUUGCAAUGACGCGGUCGUCUCAGACAACGACGGCACCUGGCCGUUGGUUUGCUGCGGCGAUCGGUCGGCGGCCGAAGGUCAUUUGGGCAACAGUCAUUGCCGACGCUGUGUGCGCGGCGGCCGCGGUUGCCUGACUCGGUGUGUGUCGUCGAGCGGGCAAGGUUGCAUUGCGACGGCGGCAGUGUUGGCAAAGCGCGUUUUCGGCGCAGAUCAUUUUGACCGGUCGUUUAACUGUCAGCCUGUCAAGGUUGGGUUGGCGAUUUGCAUGGUCUCGUCGGGGCGCGGCUGCCGUUGUUCAAUGUUGGCACCCGUUGGCCGUUCUGUGGCGUUUACGUGACGGUCACCCGUCAGACCCGUCUUGAAACACGGACCAAGGAGUGCAGCAGUUGCGCGAGUCAUUGACACGUUUUGACGGUCAAAGGCGUAACGAAAGUGACCUGCCGGUGCGUAGAGCCGUGUGGCGGCAACGGCGGCGACUAGUUGUUGUUGUUGUUGUUGUCGUUUCGGCGUAUACGGGAGCCGUUCGAAUCGUAGUUGCCGGUGGUGGCCCUGGUUGCCGCAGCCGGUGACCGAUGCAACGGAUUCGGAGCGCACGCGCUGCUACCCGAAAGAUGGUGAACUAUGCCUGAGCAGGAUGAAGCCAGAGGAAACUCUGGUGGAAGUUCGAAGCGGUGUUGACGUGCAAAUCACUCGCUUGACUUGUGCAUAGGGGCGAAAGACUAAUCGAACCAUC